UACGAAGGGGGCGAGCGUUGUUCGGAAUUACUGGGCGUAAAGGGCGCGUAGGCGGCGAACCAAGUCAGAUGUGAAAGUCCUGGGCUUAACCUGGGGACUGCAUUUGAUACUGGUUUGCUUGAAUUCGGGAGAGGAUAGCGGAAUUCCCAGUGUAGAGGUGAAAUUCGUAGAUAUCGAGAGGAACACCGGUGGCGAAGGCGGCCUUCUGGACAGUCACUGACGCUGAGACGCGAAAGCGUGGGGAGGCAAACAGG
rnacentral:rRNA from 1 species